GUCCUCGUAGCUCAGUGGAUAGAGCAACCGCCUCCUAAGCGGUAGGUCGCAGGUUCAACUCCCGCCGAGGACAC
rnacentral:tRNA from 3 species